GCUGGAUUUGACUGUUGAGAAGUUCUUAAUGGAAUUAAAAAUCGACCUGAGAAGGAUGGAGGGGAUUUUGCCCACGAAAUGGUGCUCAGGACUAAUCAUUGGAUGCUGCAAAGGCUUUGGUGUCAAGGAUUCAACCCUACAUUGAAGACAUGAUCAGAUGCAGAAGGGAGCUCUUGUGUUGGAGUGAGGAGACAGGGCGGCCUGUUCUGCCAGGAGCCUCUUACGAUGACUAUUACAACACAUGAAGGAGGCCGGCUGCAGCUAAACGGAGUUAUAUAGAGGCCAGAAGGACAAGCAUUAGUUUUGCAAGAAGAGGAAUGCAGCCAACAUUACACCAACAAGCCGACACCCACGUCAGGUUAUCCCUUUCACACUUUGAGAACUACCCAGAGCCUCCCACAUCCCCAGAG
ensembl:lncRNA